rnacentral:rRNA from 1 species
UACGUAGGUUGCGAGCGUUGUCCGGAUUUACUGGGCGUAAAGCGCGCGCAGGCGGUCGUUCAAGUCGCGUGUGAAAGCCCCCGGCUCAACUGGGGAGAGUCACGCGAUACUGAUCGACUCGAAGGCAGGAGAGGGUAGUGGAAUUCCCGGUGUAGUGGUGAAAUGCGUAGAUAUCGGGAGGAACACCAGUGGCGAAGGCGACUACCUGGCCUGUUAUUGACGCUGAGGCGCGAAAGCUAGGGGAGCAAACGGG